rnacentral:rRNA from 1 species
AUUGAACGCUGGCGGCAGGCCUAACACAUGCAAGUCGAACGAGCGGCGGACGGGUGAGUACUGUAUGGGGACUGCCCGAUAGAGGGGGAUAACUACUGGAAAAGGUGGCUAAUACCGCAUAUUGUCUGAUAUCCCACAUGUGAUUAGCUAUUAGGUAAGGUAAUGGCUUACCUAGGCGACGCUCCCUUGCUGGUCUGAGAGGAUGAUCAGCCACACUGGGACUGAGACACGGCCCAGACUCCUACGGAGGCAGCAGUGGGGAAUAUUGCACAAUGGGCGCAAGCCUGAUGCAGCCAUGCCGCGUGUAUGAAGAAGGCCCUAGGGUUGUAAAGUACUUUCAGUCGGGAGGCGUUACCGACAGAAGAAGCACCGGCUAACUCCGUGCCAGCCGCCGCGGUAAUUC